rnacentral:rRNA from 1 species
AACGACUCUCGGCAACGGAUAUCUCGGCUCUCGCAUCGAUGAAGAACGUAGCGAAAUGCGAUACUUGGUGUGAAUUGCAGAAUCCCGUGAACCAUCGAGUCUUUGAACGCAAGUUGCGCCCGAAGCCACUAGGCCGAGGGCACGCCUGCCUGGGCGUCSCGC